GAACUGAGACACGGUCCAGACUCCUACGGGAGGCAGCAGUGGGGAAUAUUGCACAAUGGGGGAAACCCUGAUGCAGCCAUGCCGCGUGUGUGAAGAAGGCCUUCGGGUUGUAAAGCACUUUCAGCGAGGAGGAAAGGUCAGUAGCUAAUAUCUGCUGACUGUGACGUUACUCGCAGAAGAAGCACCGGCUAACUCCGUGCCAGCAGCCGCGGUAAUACGGAGGGUGCAAGCGUUAAUCGGAAUUACUGGGCGUAAAGCGCACGCAGGCGGUUGGAUAAGUUAGAUGUGAAAGCCCC
rnacentral:rRNA from 1 species